AGCAGUCGCCGCGGUAAAACGUAGGUGGCAAGCGUUGUCCGGAAUUAUUGGGCGUAAAGGGCUCGCAGGCGGUUUCUUAAGUCUGAUGUGAAAGCCCCCGGCUCAACCGGGGAGGGUCAUUGGAAACUGGGAAACUUGAGUGCAGAAGAGGAGAGUGGAAUUCCACGUGUAGCGGUGAAAUGCGUAGAGAUGUGGAGGAACACCAGUGGCGAAGGCGACUCUCUGGUCUGUAACUGACGCUGAGGAGCGAAAGCGUGGGGAGCGAACAGGAUUAGAUACCCGGGUAGUCCCUGUCUCUUAUAC
rnacentral:rRNA from 1 species